GGGAGAGACUUGCCCUAGAUUGCCAGCCCCUGGUAGGGCUCCCUGGGCCCUACCCUUGGUUCCUGGGCUUCUGUCCUAUUUGCUGACUUGCAUUUCCAGUGCUGAUUUCCCUGGAAGUGGCAAAGCACUGGAAUGACCCGUGAACUUAGGAAGUGUCUGAAUAGUGUGGAAGCCACGGUGGGAGCUUGGACCCUCUUGGAAAGGAAGCUGGAGUGACUCAUAAAAUCUUAAUAUAGCCCCGAGACUGUCAUGUUUACAGACAGUGC
rnacentral:lncRNA from 1 species